GUAGUCCACGCCCUAAACGAUGUCAACCAGUUGUCGGGAAUUAAUUUUCUUGGUAACGGAGCUAACGCGUGAAGUUGACCGCCUGGGGAGUACGGUCGCAAGAUUAAAACUCAAAGGAAUUGACGGGGACCCGCACAAGCGGUGGAUGAUGUGGAUUAAUUCGAUGCAACGCGAAAAACCUUACCUACCCUUGACAUGGCCCGGAUCCUGCAGAGAUGCGGGAGUGCUCGCAAGAGAACGGGUACACAGGUGCUGCAUGGCUGUCGUCAGCUCGUGUCGUGAGAUGUUGGGUUAAGUCCCGCAACGAGCGCAACCCUUGUCAUUAAUUGCCAGCAUUAGGUUGGGCACUUUAAUGAGACUGCCGGUGACAAACCGGA
rnacentral:rRNA from 1 species